UACAGAGGUCUCAAGCGUUGUUCGGAUUCAUUGGGCGUAAAGGGUGUCGUAGGUGGCGCCGUAAGUCGGGUGUGAAAUCUUGGAGCUUAACUCCGAAACUGCAUUCGAUACUGCCGUGCUUGAGGACUGGAGAGGAGACUGGAAUUUACGGUGUAGCGGUGAAAUGCGUAGAUAUCGUAAGGAAGACCAGUGGCGAAGGCGGGUCUCUGGACAGUUCCUGACGCUGAGGCACGAAGGCCAGGGGAGCAAACGGG
rnacentral:rRNA from 1 species